CAGAGGCAUUAUAUGAGACGUGUCCCUGGGAGUGUUACGUCUUCGCGCUCAUCAUCUUCAUCACCAUGACGAACCAGAUCCACAAGUGGUCCCACACGUACUUUGGGCUCCCACGCUGGGUCAUAUUCCUGCAGGACUGGCACAUUAUCCUGCCCAGGAAGCACCACAGGAUCCAUCAUGUGUCUCCACACGAGACCUACUUCUGCAUCACCACUGGUUGGCUGAACUAUCCAUUAGAGAAGAUAAGAUUCUGGAGGUGUUUGGAGAACAUCAUCCAAGGACUUACUGGGGAGAAGCCAAGAGCAGAUGACAUGAAAUGGGCUCAGAAAAUCAAAUAACUUUUGCCAGCCUUCUGCAAUCCUUAACUUGUUGCCAAUGUUGUUUUUAAAAGAAAAAAAAAAAUAAAGCCAUCAGCCAAAUUCAAGACCUGCAAAGAAAUAACAGACUCUAAAGCACAAACUAAAAAG